rnacentral:lncRNA from 1 species
CGCUCGGUUGUGGUGCAGGAGCGCAGGCUGCUGGUUGGGGUCCAUAACGGCUGGGGUUGGGUGGAGAAGCCUCAUGUGUUGGUGCUGGAACGUGAGGCCGGAGGGAGCGGAGCUGCCAGGGCUCGUGGAGCCAGCGCAAGCGGCAGCUUCAGGCAGACCUCCACGGACAAACUCAGUGAUGGACUGUCUCUUCGUGGCAGUGUGGAGCUGAAGAUGAUGAGGGACAUGGCUUUCAGCAUCGUCUUCCAGCUCCAGUAUGUUCUCUCUUGUCCACUGGCUGGAGAUGGGCAGUUCUGACUGAAGUUUGCUACACGACUGGACUUAAGGAUGGAUACUUCAUUACUAUUCCGCCUGCUCAUCC